rnacentral:rRNA from 1 species
UCCCAGACUCCUACGGGAGGCAGCAGUGAGGAAUAUUGGUCAAUGGGCGCGAGCCUGAACCAGCCAAGUCGCGUGAGGGAAGACGGUCCUAUGGAUUGUAAACCUCUUUUGUCGGGGAGCAAGGCCCGCCACGUGUGGCGGGAAGGAGAGUACCCGAAGAAAAAGCAUCGGCUAACUCCGUGCCAGCAGCCGCGGUAAUACGGAGGAUGCGAGCGUUAUCCGGAUUUAUUGGGUUUAAAGGGUGCGUAGGCGGACGCUUAAGUCAGCGGUAAAAUUGCGGGGCUCAACCUCGUCGAGCCGUUGAAACUGGGUGCCUUGAGUGGGCGAGAAGUACGCGGAAUGCGUGGUGUAGCGGUGAAAUGCAUAGAUAUCACGCAGAACUCCGAUUGCGAAGGCAGCGUACCGGCGCCCAACUGACGCUGAAGCACGAAGGCGUGGGUAUCGAACAGGAUUAGAUACCCGGGUA